AUGGGGCGUCGCAAGGGAGGAAAGCAGGUGGGGAACACAGGGAGUGUUGUGGAGGAGGAAAACGCUUCCGUAGCUUGCCUGGAUUUGGAAUUAUCUAGGAGACACACCCUCAGCUGUUUCCAGAGAGGCUCACCUGAGGAGGGAAGACUCAUUCUGGAUGUAGGUGACACCACCCCAUGGACUGGGGGCCCAGACUGAACAAAAAGCAGACAAGGAGGAAGCCAUUUGAGCACUGGCAUUUGCUUCUAUCUGCUUCCUGAUUGUGGAUGCAACCUGGCCGGCUUUCUCAUGCUCCUCACCCAUCUUCCUGCCGUGAUGGACUCUGUCUCCUCAAAGCAUGAGCCCAAAUAAACCCUCUCUGCUCAAA